UAAUUUAAUAUCUAAUCAUUAUUAAUAAAUUAUUAAAAUAAAAAAUAAUAUGAAACCCUCCAGAAGAGGCGGAUUCAUGUAUCUUACAAUCAACACGUACAGUUUUUUUAUUCUUAGAGCUUAAACACUGAGUACACUCUUUACAUGUAUCAUAAACCUUUACUUGCUAUAUGUACAUUAUAAUAACUCCAUAAAAGAACAUCAAUCUCAAUCAGUGAGCAGAGAGAGAGAGAGAUGUUCUGUUGGCUCCAUUCACAGUGCUUUUCUACUUCUCAUGUUCAUGCAUAAUAAUUGAAAUAAUUUGUCAUAUAAGAUGGCUAUCUUUCGCUUUAAUCCGCAGUCUUGCAUUGCAAAUUGUGCCUUCUUGGACUGAAAAAGAGAAGGACGACAAAGGUAAAUUUAAAACCAGAAAAAGGAAAAAGAGGGCUGACCCUUCUUCUUCUUCAUGGAUGCUACCAUUCAACUCAACAACGAUAAGAUAACAUAGAUGCUUCUACUCAGACGGUAUUUGCAAGAGCAGGUCUUACUUAUCUAUAUAUUAAUUAAUAUUUCUGAGACUUUAAUCUUUAUGCUGAUCAGAUGAAGAGUAUUUAUUAAUUAAUAUAUUAAUUGUAUUUAUAUAAACUAAUGUUAAUACACUAUUUUGUAGGAUUAAACUUGUUAAUUUUAUGCUAUAAAUUAUCAUUAUUUAUCAGUGUUAUACUUACUUGUCCAGAAUAAAUACACAUAAUAAAAAAAUUAUAGUAUAUAUUAUAUCUUUCUUAUAAAUGUAUUACUCCUAAAAAUUAAAGCAUGAAUUUCUAUAAAAUGUAGAGUCUUAUAAGGUAGUAUUUGGAGCAAAUAUCUAUUUGAUAGUAGUCAAAGUAGUUACUAUCAAUGGUCUGUAGUAAAUCAGAAAUAUAAACGCAUUCUUAUAAUUGAAAAAUAUAUUAGAUUAGUUGAAUGAAUUACAAACUUAUCUAUAAUCGAUGAAUCAAAACAACAAUUUAUUUUGAUUCAAAUUCGAGAAAAUAAAAGAGAAAAAAGAAAUUUAGUAAAACUAUAUAAUUAUGUGAACAUUUAUGCUCUGAUGAAAAUUGUAGACUCAGCUAUCUUUUCUGCUCUAGGAACACUGGCAGUACCUUCCCAUUGAAACACACAUGGAACAAGUAUUAAGUAUAUUUUGGUGUUUGAUCUAAAUUUUAGCAUAGAUUAUAAACUUCGAAUAUUUUACAAGUGGAUGUUUGUAAAGGAUAAAUGAUUUAGAAGUGGAUGCUAGAAUUUAAAUCUUAUCAAGUUAAAAUAAAUAAUUAUAUCCUGAUAUUUCAUAAGGCAUCAAUAAAUUCUAUGACUAAUUUAUUCGUAUAAUUUAUAUAAUUAUUGGGUAUAUAAUAUAUUUGAUGCAUUCAAAAAGAAUUUCUUUUUUCUCUGCUAUAAAGAAGGAAAAAGAAUUAGAAAAAGAAAAGGAAGAGAAAGAGAGAAGAGGAGCACAGACCUGUUCCAAAGGUAGAAAAAUUAUCAGGAAUAAUAGCAUAUGUAUAUAUUUCUGGUGGAUAGAUUUGUUCUUCUCAGAACCCUUUGCUUGACUUGUACUGCUGCUAAUGGUCUUAUUAACCAGUGAUGGUUUUCUGGAAAAUUUUGGAUGAUAUGGAAAUUUAGAUUAUCUUCUAGUGAUCAUGAUGCUGUUGCUUGCUGCUGCUACCUGCUAAUCCCACGUAUGCUAACAAGAACUUUUUUCGUUCCUAAUCUUUAGGCUGAAGAUGUGGUGAAAAUAAGGCACCCAUGUCAUCUUUCUGAAUCCAGCAAGUGGCUAAAGGAAGAAUAAAUAAAGAGAAUAAUAAUUGAUUGGAGGAGAAAGAUAAUGAAAAAGGGUAGAGAAUAGGAAUUUCAUCAGAUAAAAUGCUUCAGACAAAGUUGAAAGGAUAACGAAAAUGGGUAGAGAAUAUUGGACUUUCAGGUUCAGGAAAG
rnacentral:lncRNA from 1 species